rnacentral:rRNA from 1 species
GAUGAACGCUGGCGGCGUGCUUAACACAUGCAAGUCGAGCGAAGCGAUUUUGAUGAAGUUUUCGGAUGGAAUUAAGAUUGACUGAGCGGCGGACGGGUGAGUAACGCGUGGGUAACCUGCCUCAUACAGGGGGAUAACAGUUAGAAAUGACUGCUAAUACCGCAUAAGCGCACAGGACCGCAUGGUCCGGUGUGAAAAACUCCGGUGGUAUGAGAUGGACCCGCGUCUGAUUAGCUUGUUGGCGGGGUAACGGCCCACCAAGGCGACGAUCAGUAGCCGACCUGAGAGGGUGACCGGCCACAUUGGGACUGAGACACGGCCCAA